rnacentral:rRNA from 1 species
GAUGAACGCUGGCGGUGUGCCUAAUACAUGCAAGUCGAGCGAACGGACGAGAAGCUUGCUUCUCUGAUGUUAGCGGCGGACGGGUGAGUAACACGUGGAUAACCUACCUAUAAGACUGGGAUAACUUCGGGAAACCGGAGCUAAUACCGGAUAAUAUUUUGAACCGCAUGGUUCAAAAGUGAAAGACGGUCUUGCUGUCACUUAUAGAUGGAUCCGCUCUGCAUUAGCUAGUUGGUAAGGUAACGGCUUACCAAGGCAACGUUGCAUAGCCGACCUGAGAGGGUGAUCGGCCACACUGGAACUGAGACACGGUCCAGACCCCUACGGGAGGCAGCAGUAGGGAAUCUUCCGCAAUGGGCGAAAGCCUGACGGAGCAACGCCGCGUGAGUGAUGAAGGUCUUCGGAUCGUAAAACUCUGUUAUUAGGGAAGAACAUAUGUGUAAGUAACUGUGCACAUCUUGACGGUACCUAAUCAGAAAGCCACGGCUAACUACGU